GACGUAGGGCGCGAGCGUUGUCCGGAUUUAUUGGGCGUAAAGAGCUCGUAGGCGGCUUGUCGCGUCGACCGUGAAAACUUGGGGCUCAACCCCAAGCCUGCGGUCGAUACGGGCAGGCUCGAGUUCGGUAGGGGAGACUGGAAUUCCUGGUGUAGCGGUGAAAUGCGCAGAUAUCAGGAGGAACACCGGUGGCGAAGGCGGCAUCCUGGACCGGCAUUGACGCUGAGGCGCGAAAGCCAGGGGAGCAAACGGG
rnacentral:rRNA from 1 species